AUCUAUCUAUCUAUCUAUCUAUCUAUCUAUCUAUCUAUCUAUCCCAGGCUGCCGCAGGAACGUCCUGUAUCCUUUUAUGCACCACACCCCCCGGAUCCCUUGGUUCUGGAGGAGAGUGGUCCAAGGACUCUUUAUGACAACUUGGAAGUUAAGGUGGACAAGAACGAGUUGCCGAUGACCACUGACAUUUUCUUCAAGGAGCUACCACACACACACUUGUUACAGAAGGACCCAACACGGGUCCGCCUGUGCGGAGUGUUCGGCCUUCCGAGACCAACAGGACUCCUGUCCUGUGGCCGCAUAUUCCUAUGAAAUAUCCAGCCACAGGACAGGAGUCCUGACAAAUAUGUUGGUCUCGGAAGUCCGGGAAGCCCAGCUAGAAGGUGAAACUGGAGCAGGGAGAAAGUGAUAGUGAGGAACCGGACCUUCGCCAAGGACACCAUUAUUAUUAUUUUUUUUUUUUGUAAAUAGUUAAUAUUUGUAAAUAUAUUUACAAAUAUUAAUAAAAAUAUGUUUUUAUAUAGAAUAGCAAAAUGUGUCAAUCUGUCCGUCUAGACGCCAAAAUAAACCUAAUGCUACCGAUAAUUACAUAUAAGUUAACAUUAUUAAAAAACUUCAAAAAUACACCUUUGUAAACUAAGACACUUUAGUAAACACAUCCCCUAACUCCCUAACCA